UGCAAUCCCCUCGAAAAACCUCCCCUCUCAAUUUUUUUUCUUUUUAUUUCCCUUUCAUUCUAUUUUAAGCUUGCCUCCCAGCUCCAUUUUCUAGCCCCACUUGGAAAACCCUAGUUUUUCUUUUUUUUUUCCAAAAAAAAUCCUUUUUCCAUGCAAUCUGCCGAUUUCCCAAGAAUUAUUUUCCACUCUUAAUAUUUCCAAAAAAAAAAAAAAAAAAUUUCCAAUGCAUUCUGUCGACUCUCCUUUUCUUUUUUCCUUUUUUUUUUAAGUAAAUAAAGUAAUGAAAGCAUAA
rnacentral:lncRNA from 1 species